UGCAAGUCGAGCGGGUGUAGCAAUACACCAGCGGCAGACGGGAGAGUAACACGUGGGAACGUGCCCUUCAGUUCGGAACAACCCAGGGAAACUUGGGCUAAUACCGGAUACGUCCGUAAGGAGAAAGAUUUAUCGCUGAAGGAUCGGCCCGCGUCUGAUUAGCUUGUUGGUGAGGUAAUGGCUCACCAAGGCGACGAUCAGUAGCUGGUCUGAGAGGAUGAUCAGCCUCACUGGGACUGAGACACGGCCCAGACUCCUACGGGAGGCAGCAGUAGGGAAUAUUGGACAAUGGGCGCAAGCCUGAUCCAGCCAUGCCGCGUGGGUGAUGAAGGCCCUAGGGUUGUAAAGCCCUUUCGGCGGGGAAGAUAAUGACGGUACCCGCAGAAGAAGCCCCGGCUAACUUCGUGCCAGCAGCCGCGGUAAUACGAAGGGGGCUAGCGUUGCUCGGAAUCACUGGGCGUAAAGCGCACGUAGGCGGCUUUUUAAGUCAGGGGUGAAAUCCUGGAGCUCAACUCCAGAACUGCCUUUGAUACUGAGAAGCUUGAGUCCGGGAGAGGUGAGUGGAACUGCGAGUGUAGAGGUGAAAUUCGUAGAUAUUCGCAAGAACACCAGUGGCGAAGGCGGCUCACU
rnacentral:rRNA from 1 species